rnacentral:lncRNA from 1 species
AAUCAGCCAUGCGUUAAUAAACAUAUGCAUGAAAGGCUAAUACGGCGAAAAAAGGGCAUGUUUACUUGAGAGGCUGUGUGGUGGACUUAAUUUUAUGAAGUUUUUACGAGUUAAUUGUUUUUAAUGUAAAUAUCUCGGCGAGUAUUUACCCCCCUUUAAAACGAAAAACACCAUUGAAAUUCUUAUAAAAUAACCUUUUCAACUGAGAGUCAAAUGCCGUCAAAACAUCACACAAACCAGAACAAUCGUAUAUUACUCACGCUUGGCCAAACAUUCUGUAUUUCAUAUGGAGAAAAAACUUGAAUAUCUUCUAAACUCUUCAGAAUUCAUCCCAAGUCAAUGUGAGUAAAAUCUCCUUGUAUUCAAGCGCUUUUAUUUAGAAAGUUUCGUUUGAAUACGGCGAGUAGAAAUAUUUAUUUUGAAUUUUUCAACUGAUAUUGGGCUUUACUCGCGCGUGCGCACCACAUGUAUGCUUGGUCAUAUACACACGUAAAAACGCACAAGUUGUUACAGGUCUGCAAACAAGUUGUUACAAAUCUGUUCACAAGCUGUCAACAAGUUGUGUUCGCACUGCUUGUUCCCAGUUGUUGUAACGAGUUUGGAACAAGCUG